UUUUUAGUAUAAAUAUAUCCCAUGCAAUAUUUGGGACAUAUUUACACUAUAA
rnacentral:pre_miRNA from 1 species